AAAAAACAAAUGUCAUGCAUGUAGCUCUCUCAUGCACUCACUCACUCCCUCAAGCCAGCCAUAAAGGAAGGUUGCUCCAGCCAUAAUUGUGCUAAACAUGUAGCUAGGAUGCUAUUGAUACUUAUGAUGUCAUGCCCAAGAAGAGAAAACUAGAUCUAGAUAUCGAAUGGCAGGGCCGCUCAUGAAAGACAAAGGCAGAAAAAUUAUAGAUAUCGGAUGCUUUUCCGAGAUGGCCUCAAGGAAGAGAAACACUGUUGCCUCAUCCAGUGUUGGACAUCCAUAAAAGUGAUCUUCGGUCGAAAGACAACAAUUCCUGAUAGAAGAACAAGGAAUAUCAGAGCUGGGUUCAGACAUGCCAGAUGAUCAAGCAUGCAAGAGGCCCUUGGCAUCAGGAGAUGGACAUCAGCAGUCAUGACCCGCCAGUCCCACAUCCACCACACCUUGACCUUCCUGUGGCCUUCCUUCCUGUGGCCUUCCUUCCUGUGGCCUUCCUUUCUGUGGCCUCGGCAAUCCCCUUACCACACUGGAGUUGCAAUCAUGGAGCAAGAAGCAUAUUAUGUAAAACAAUGUAUAAAUGUAAAUACUAUUCACACAGACAAUGUUAUUUUUCUGGAACUUUAUUUUUUUUAAACAACCAGUGGACUUCUGAACUUUACAAAUACCAAAUCAAUUCACACAUAAACAAAUGUCAACAUGGAUUUUCAUAAGACACCUAGACGUCUAUAAAGCUUUGGCUGCAGUAAGCUCUAAUAACCUUGUAAUGUCCCAUAUGAAAAUGAUUUAUACACAUUUAUAAAGGCCAAUCAUAUGAUUAUGGCCUACUUCCUAUAAGAAAACACACAACACAUAUUAUUCUUAUACAAUUCCUGUGUUUCUCACAUAUGUGACAAUAUAUACUGCCAACAUGUAGUUCUGUAUUUUGUGUAUGAAUGUGGCCUACUUCAUCUAAGACAUAUAGUCCACUUAUGUUAGUUACAUGUUUCAGCAGUACCCAUAUAAGAAUACUUUUAAUUCAUAGAGACCCUUUCGGAAGUGCCAUACGUGGCACAGUUAUACAGGUGUAACAGAAUGGGCUAUUGUGCUAGAAAAUGUUUAAUAGGUUACUGGAAUUAUAUUGAAUAUUGUUUAUUCAUGCUAUCGAAUAUCCCUGUAUUAGAGUGGGAAAGAGAGCUAUGUUCAGAAGUUAUGCAUUUUUAUAAUAAAUGAGUCCUA